UACGUAGGGGGCUAGCGUUGUCCGGAAUCAUUGGGCGUAAAGAGCGUGUAGGCGGCCCGGUAAGUCCGCUGUGAAAGUCGGGGGCUCAACCCUCGGAUGCCGGUGGAUACUGUCGGGCUCGAGUACGGAAGAGGCGAGUGGAAUUCCUGGUGUAGCGGUGAAAUGCGCAGAUAUCAGGAGGAACACCUACUGCGAAGGCAGCUCGCUGGGACGUUACUGACGCUGAGACGCGAAAGCGUGGGGAGCAAACAGG
rnacentral:rRNA from 1 species